GGAACCUCACCCGGUCUAGUAGGGAGGGCUUCCUGGAGUAGGUGAGGAAGUAUGCUCCGGAGGACAGAGGAAACGGCAGGAGCAAGAAUUAGGAGAUGACAACUGGAAUAGCAAAAUCCCUGGGUUUUUGAACUCCACAGGGACAGCCACAUUCAUCCCGGCUGUGGACUGAACUGUGUCCCCUUCAGAUGUCACAUGUUGAAGCCCUUGCCCCCACUGUGACUGCAUUUGGAGACUGGGCCUAUCAGGAGAUAAGAGAUCACGUGGAGACACAGCAAGAAGGCAGCUGUCUGCAGCCAGGAAGAGAGCCCUCAGCAGAACCUGCGCCUGCCAGCACCAUGAUCUUGGACUCCCAGUCUCCAGAACUAUGAGAAAACAAAGUCUCACUCUGUCACCCAGGCUGGAGUGCAGCGGUGCCAUCAUAGUUCACUGAAGCCUCAACCUCCUGGGCUCAAGUGAUAUUCCCACCUCAACCUCCCAAGUAGCUAGGACCACAGAUUGUGGUUGUUUCAAAGUUUUUGCUAUUAUAAUUGCCCCUACAGGGAACACACUUGGAGCUGAAUCUUUACUCACUUAAUUAUUACCUUGGAAUAAAUUACUACAACUAGAAUUGUUGGUUCAAAAG